UAUCUAACGUAAACUUCCGGCGAAGUAACCUUCACGUGUUUUGUAGACCGGUUACAUCAGCUCUAGAAAAAUGGGAAAUGCUAACGCACCAGCAGCACCAGUAGCACCAACUGCUCCCGCGCCGACAAUAGAACCUGCUAAAAAGCUAAAACCAUGUUGUGCUUGUCCAGAAACCAGGGGACCUAGAGAUGAAUGCAUAGUUCUAAAAGGCGAGGAGAACUGUAAAGACCUGAUAGAGGCUCACAAGGAAUGCAUGAGAAAGCUGGGAUUUAAAGUCUAACACAAGAAAGAUUUGAAUGAGAGACAGGAUCAGAACUUGUGAGCUUUUCGUGGAUGAAUGAUGCUGUUCAGGAAUGGAUGAGUUUAUUUAUGAGGAUGUAAGGACACAAACAGAGAUCUGUGUUUACAUGCAACUGCAGUUGCAUUGUCUCUUAAAAGUAUCAGUACAUAUAGGAUAGUACUUCUGUAUCAAGCUAUAAAUACCAAGGACUUGUUUAUAACAGUGGAUGGAUUUUAUGAACAAUGUGUAACUGACGCUCCUUUAGUAAACUAUUCACUUGUUGGAUUAAAACAAUAUAUGUAUGAGAUUUAAAACUUUUUUUGAAAUCCCUUAAUCCACUGUGCACAAGUAGAUUUUCCAAGUAAUAUGUUUCAAGUGCGUUUUUGUAAUGUGUUUUUAACUUUGUUUUGUGUGUAAUAUUUGUACACUGUACAUGUCAUUAUUCUGUUAAAUAAUGAAUUGAAAUAAUUCCUAUGAUAAUGAAUAAAUGUUGAAUGUAGAACUGA